GAGUUUCACACACACACACAUACACUCAGCAAAAGUUUUUAUAGUUCAAUUCCUUUUGCGUUUUUGUCAUUUAUUGGCCAGCAAUUUUGAUUUGGCUUUUGAAACCCUGGUGGACAGAGCACUGUUGUAGUAAAUAUUUAAUUUCAAUCAAGGGUUUCUGCCCUGCCUUUGAUUAUUCAGUUUCCAGAUAAAAGACACACACAACUUUCGUAUUUAUAAUAAGACUUUAUAGCACUAGAACUAGGCAGUUAGCUACCCUCUAAGCUAUUUGAAUUUACUUCCUUAUGAAUAAUCCUGAGUUCGAACUUGGAACUUGUGGGGGCUGGAGAGAUGGCUCAGUGGUUAAGAGCACUGACAACUCUUCCAGAGGUCCUGAGUUCAAUUCCCAGCAACCACAUGGUGGCUUACAACCAUCUGUAAUGAGAUCUGAUGCCCUCUUCGGGUGUGUCUGAAGAGCUACAGUGUACUCAUUUAUGUAAAAUAAAUUUAAAAAAAAAAAGAGCUAUGUUCUAUCUGGGCAACUCUUAACUCCAGUUGGCCAGCCCUCAUGGCCAUGUUUUCAUGAUUCCUGCCUCAUGUCAUCUUGUCCUCUCUCCAUCUUCUCUCUCUCCUCUGGUGGUCUCCUGCCUCCGACCCCAAGCCUGGAAACCAAAAACUCACUUAUCUCUCUUCUAUCCAGCUAUAGGCUGUAGGCAGUUUUAUUCAUCAAUCAGGGAUAACUUAGGGGGCAAGGUUACACUGUGUCACUUGAGUCUAUGUGCGGAUUCUCACAUCUCUAGAGGCAACCAGGUCUUGGGGAGCAGUAUUUAGCAUUACAACACAUAGUAAAAGACCUCAACAGAGCACAGAGAAAAAGAUUUAGUUUUGAGAAAGUUGCUGGCAGCUUGGCUCAGUGCAUAAAGAUCCUUGCCGUGGCAGCUGAGUUCAGUCCCCAGAAUGUGUGCUAGCUCCACAGAAUUGCUCUCAGAGCUCUAUACGUGGGUCAUAGAACAUUUGUCCUCCUGCAGUGGUAGUGAUAGUGAUAAUUAAUAAUAAAGCAUGUUUUUAAUUUUAAAGAAGGUUUGUGUGUAUCUUAGAGGUUUGUAAGACUAUGAGAAUUUUUAUCUCAGGGCAAACAAAGUAAGUUGAAAAUUUAUAUUU
rnacentral:lncRNA from 1 species